rfam:Aedes aegypti strain Liverpool supercont1.330 genomic scaffold, whole genome shotgun sequence.
GGCUCGGUAGCUGAGUUGGAAAAGCGCUUGUGUAGGAUACAAGAGUCCUGGGUUCAACUCCCAGCCGAGCAU